rnacentral:rRNA from 1 species
CCUACGGGUGGCUGCAGUGGGGAAUAUUGGACAAUGGGCGAAAGCCUGAUCCAGCCAUGCCGCGUGUGUGAAAAAGGCCUUCGGGUUGUAAAGCACUUUCAGUGGGGAAGAAAGCCUUGGGGCUAAUACCCUCGAGGAAGGACAUCACCCACAGAAGAAGCACCGGCUAACUCCGUGCCAGCAGCCGCGGUAAUACGGAGGGUGCGAGCGUUAAUCGGAAUUACUGGGCGUAAAGCGCGCGUAGGCGGUCUGAUAAGCCGGUUGUGAAAGCCCCGGGCUCAACCUGGGAACGGCAUCCGGAACUGUCAGGCUAGAGUGCAGGAGAGGAGGGUAGAAUUCCCGGUGUAGCGGUGAAAUGCGUAGAGAUCGGGAGGAAUACCACUGGCGAAGGCGGCCUUCUGGACUGACACUGACGCUGAGGUGCGAAAGCGUGGGUAGCAAACAGGAUUAGUACCCUAGUAGUC